CCUAAAUAGAAACUCCUCAAGUUUUUCCUACUGUCACUGACCACCGCCGCAGACCUUACCAUCGUCGACGACUGUCCAUCAUCCUUUACUCAUUCACACUCAUUCAAAUUGAUCGCUCUUCAUGUUUCCAUCCCCCGCCUCAGAUCCUCAUCGCUAUUCUUGUUUGUUCGUGUCUCAGAUCUCCAUUGCUAGGUUCGGUUCCUAUCUUAAAAGCAUCGUUAAUUGUGGCAGGAAAGUCCAACGCGGAGGUUGAGGAGGUUUUUGAUCAGAUGCUCACUCGUUUGGCUCUCUACGAUGAUUUCAAGCUUGAGCCCUUACUCUCCAAUCUUCUCCCUCUCUGCAUAUCUUCACUCUCCUUAAACUCCGCCACUGUGUGCAACAAGGUGCUUCUGGUGGUCACUUAGAUUCCAUUCUGUUAGCAAGAUUGAAGGUUCAAAAUCUUAUUGAAUGAUGCUUACAACUAUAUAUGAGCCAGAAAGAAGUAGUGGACACACUACUAAAGCAAGCCAAAAUAGAGCCUGGUUUCACAGAAUUGGGUAAGGAAAGCUUUGUUCUAUGCUAUUAUUUUUGUUUUGCUUGUAUCAUACUCCACGUAACUCUGCAGCAUACUUUCUU